UACAGAGGGUGCGAGCGUUAAUCGGAAUUACUGGGCGUAAAGCGCGCGUAGGCGGCUUUGCAAGUCGGAUGUGAAAUCCCCAGGCUUAACCUGGGAACUGCAUUCGAGACUGCAUUGCUAGAGUAUGGGAGAGGGAAGUGGAAUUUCCGGUGUAGCGGUGAAAUGCGUAGAGAUCCGGAAGAACACCGGUGGCGAAGGCGGCCUGCUGGGCAGUUGCUGACACUGAGGCGCGACAGCGUGGGGAGCAAACAGG
rnacentral:rRNA from 1 species